rnacentral:rRNA from 1 species
CAGCAGCCGCGGGAAUACGGAGGGUGCAAGCGUUAAUCGGAAUUACUGGGCGUAAAGCGCACGCAGGCGGUUUGUUAAGUCAGAUGUGAAAUCCCCGAGCUUAACUUGGGAACUGCAUUUGAAACUGGCAAGCUAGAGUCUGGUAGAGGGGGGUAGAAUUCCAGGUGUAGCGGUGAAAUGCGUAGAGAUCGGGAGGAACAUCAGUGGCGAAGGCGGCCAUCUGGGACAACACUGACGCUGAGGCACGAAAGCGUGGGGAGCAAACAGGAUUAGAUACCCGCGUAGUCCCUGUCUCUUAUAC